GACGAACGCUGGCGGCGUGCUUAACACAUGCAAGUCGAACGGAAAGGCCCUGCUUUUGUGGGGUGCUCGAGUGGCGAACGGGUGAGUAACACGUGAGUAACCUGCCCUUGACUUUGGGAUAACUUCAGGAAACUGGGGCUAAUACCGGAUAGGAGCUCCUGCUGCAUGGUGGGGGUUGGAAAGUUUCGGCGGUUGGGGAUGGACUCGCGGCUUAUCAGCUUGUUGGUGGGGUAGUGGCUUACCAAGGCUUUGACGGGUAGCCGGCCUGAGAGGGUGACCGGCCACAUUGGGACUGAGAUACGGCCCAGACUCCUACGGGAGGCAGCAGUGGGGAAUAUUGCACAAUGGGCGGAAGCCUGAUGCAGCAACGCCGCGUGCGGGAUGACGGCCUUCGGGUUGUAAACCGCUUUCGCCUGUGACGAAGCGUGAGUGAUGGUAAUGGGUAAAGAAGCACCGGCUAACUACGUGCCAGCAGCCGCGGUGAUACGUAGGGUGCGAGCGUUGUCCGGAUUUAUUGGGCGUAAAGGGCUCGUAGGUGGUUGAUCGCGUCGGAAGUGUAAUCUUGGGGCUUAACCCUGAGCGUGCUUUCGAUACGGGUUGACUUGAGGAAGGUAGGGGAGAAUGGAAUUCCUGGUGGAGCGGUGGAAUGCGCAGAUAUCAGGAGGAACACCAGUGGCGAAGGCGGUUCUCUGGGCCUUUCCUGACGCUGAGGAGCGAAAGCGUGGGGAGCGAACAGGCUUAGAUACCCUGGUAGUCCACGCUGUAAACGGUGGGUACUAGGUGUGGGGUCCAUUCCACGGGUUCCGUGCCGUAGCUAACGCUUUAAGUACCCCGCCUGGGGAGUACGGCCGCAAGGCUAAAACUCAAAGGAAUUGACGGGGCCCCGCACAAGCGGCGGAGCAUGCGGAUUAAUUCGAUGCAACGCGUAGAACCUUACCUGGGUUUGACAUGGAUCGGGAGCGCUCAGAGAUGGGUGUGCCUCUUUUGGGGUCGGUUCACAGGUGGUGCAUGGCUGUCGUCAGCUCGUGUCGUGAGAUGUUGGGUUAAGUCCCGCAACGAGCGCAACCCUUGUUCACUGUUGCCAGCACGUUAUGGUGGGGACUCAGUGGAGACCGCCGGGGUCAACUCGGAGGAAGGUGGGGAUGACGUCAAGUCAUCAUGCCCCUUAUGUCCAGGGCUUCACGCAUGCUACAAUGGCUGGUACAGAGAGUGGCGAGCCUGUGAGGGUGAGCGAAUCUCGGAAAGCCGGUCUCAGUUCGGAUUGGGGUCUGCAACUCGACCUCAUGAAGUCGGAGUCGCUAGUAAUCGCAGAUCAGCAACGCUGCGGUGAAUACGUUCCCGGGGCU
rnacentral:rRNA from 1 species